AUCACCUCAGGAUCUUGUUAAAACGCAGAUUCUGAUUCAGUAGAUUCUGCAUAUCUAAUAAGCUCCCAGCGAUGCCAGUGUGUC
ensembl:miRNA